rnacentral:rRNA from 1 species
UAGUGAGUUUGAUCCUGGCUCAGGAUGAACGCUAGCGGCAGGCCUAAUACAUGCAAGUCGAACGGGGUCCUUCGGGGCCCAGUGGCGCACGGGUGCGUAACGCGUAUGCAACCUACCUUCAACUGGGGGAUAGCCCGGAGAAAUCCGGAUUAAUACCGCAUAACACCAUAUGACGGCAUCCGAGUAUGGUUAAAGAUUCAUCGGUUGGAGAUGGGCAUGCGUGCCAUUAGCUAGUUGGUGGUGUAACGGACCACCAAGGCUACGAUGGCUAGGGGGUCUGAGAGGAUGGUCCCCCACACUGGCACUGAGAUACGGGGCCAGACUCCUACGGGAGCAGCAGUUAGGAAUCUUCGACAAUGGGGCGAAGC